rnacentral:tRNA from 1 species
UCCCUGGUGGCUUAGCUGGUAAAGAAUGUGCCUGCAAUGCAAGAGGCCUGGGUUCUAUUCCUAGUUUGUGAA